UUCAAUUAAGGGGCCCCAAACGUAGGCCAUCGCCUACUCCUCGCCUUGCUCAACACGAAACUCCGCUUAUAUAUCUCCUGACCCGGCUUCAUGAGAGUUUCCUCGGACCUCAUCUCGGACUAUUUCCAUCUUAUCACUCCUCGCCAAGGGUGACACUUGUGCAUCAUUUAGGGCGCCCAGUCUGCGUGCCAAUUUAUAAUCACGGCCGCUAGUAAACAUGUGCUGCCCAAACAACACAAAGUAUGGCGACGUCCCGAUGCCCGUGUGUAUAGCACUCCUAGCCACACACUGGAUAUCCCUCAGCUUCUCGUCCCAGUACUGUCUGGUUCACUCGUUCGGCCGCGUUCGCCUGCGGUGCAUAGUUCCCCGACUUCAGGCACGCCAAACUGCGCGAAGACCUCGGCGUGCAAGAAUCGGAAGCCUUCA